rnacentral:rRNA from 1 species
AUGAACGCUGGCGGCGUGCCUAAUACAUGCAAGUCGAGCGAACAGACGAGGAGCUUGCUCCUCUGACGUUAGCGGCGGACGGGUGAGUAACACGUGGAUAACCUACCUAUAAGACUGGGAUAACUUCGGGAAACCGGAGCUAAUACCGGAUAAUAUAUUGAACCGCAUGGUUCAAUAGUGAAAGACGGUUUUGCUGUCACUUAUAGAUGGAUCCGCGCCGCAUUAGCUAGUUGGUAAGGUAACGGCUUACCAAGGCGACGAUGCGUAGCCGACCUGAGAGGGUGAUCGGCCACACUGGAACUGAGACACGGUCCAGACUCCUACGGGAGGCAGCAGUAGGGAAUCUUCCGCAAUGGGCGAAAGCCUGACGGAGCAACGCCGCGUGAGUGAUGAAGGUCUUUGGAUCGUAAAACUCUGUUAUUAGGGAAGAACAAAUGUGUAAGUAACUAUGCACGUCUUGACGGUACCUAAUCAGAAAGCCACGGCUAACUACGUG